AGAGUUUGAUUAUGGCUCAGAUUGAACGCUGGCGGCAUGCCUUACACAUGCAAGUCGAACGCGAAAGCGGGGCAACCCGCAAGUAGAGUGGCGAACGGGUGAGUAAUACAUCGGAACAUAUCCAGUAGCGGGGGAUAACCUAUCGAAAGAUGGACUAAUACCGCAUACGAUCUACGGAUGAAAGCAGGGGACCGCAAGGCCUUGCACUAUUGGAGUGGCCGAUGUCGGAUUAGCUAGUUGGUGAGGUAAAGGCUUACCAAGGCGACGAUCCGUAGCUGGUCUGAGAGGACGAUCAGCCACACUGGAACUGAGACACGGUCCAGACUCCUACGGGAGGCAGCAGUGGGGAAUUUUGGACAAUGGGCGCAAGCCUGAUCCAGCCAUGCCGCGUGAGUGAAGAAGGCCUUCGGGUUGUAAAGCUCUUUCGGUGAAGACGAAACGGUUAGUGCUAAUAACACUGACUAAUGACGGUACUCACAGAAGAAGCACCGGCUAACUACGUGCCAGCAGCCGCGGUAAUACGUAGGGUGCAGGCGUUAAUCGGAAUUACUGGGCGUAAAGCGUGCGCAGGCGGUUUGCUAAGACAGGUGUGAAAUCCCCGAGCUUAACUUGGGAAUUGCGCUUGUAACUGGCAAGCUAGAGUGUGGCAGAGGGGGGUGGAAUUCCACGUGUAGCAGUGAAAUGCGUAGAUAUGUGGAGGAACACCGAUGGCGAAGCAGCCCCUGGGUUACACUGACGCUCAUGCACGAAGCGUGGGGAGCAACAGGAUUAGAUACCCUGGUAGUCCCGCCCUAACUAUGUCAACUAUU
rnacentral:rRNA from 1 species